AGAGUUUGAUCCUGGCUCAGAUUGAACGCUGGCGGCAUGCCUUACACAUGCAAGUCGAACGGCAGCACGGGUGCUUGCACCUGGUGGCGAGUGGCGAACGGGUGAGUAAUAUAUCGGAACGUACCUUAUCGUGGGGGAUAACGCAGCGAAAGCUGCGCUAAUACCGCAUACGCCCUGAGGGGGAAAGCGGGGGACCGUAAGGCCUCGCGCGAUUAGAGCGGCCGAUAUCUGAUUAGCUUGUUGGUGGGGUAAAAGCCCACCAAGGCGACGAUCAGUAGCUGGUCUGAGAGGACGAUCAGCCACACUGGGACUGAGACACGGCCCAGACUCCUACGGGAGGCAGCAGUGGGGAAUUUUGGACAAUGGGGGCAACCCUGAUCCAGCAAUGCCGCGUGAGUGAAGAAGGCCUUCGGGUUGUAAAGCUCUUUUGUCAGGGAAGAAACAGCAGCUCUAACACAGUCUGCGAAUGACGGUACCUGAAGAAUAAGCACCGGCUAACUACGUGCCAGCAGCCGCGGUAAUACGUAGGGUGCAAGCGUUAAUCGGAAUUACUGGGCGUAAAGCGUGCGCAGGCGGUUAUACAAGACAGGCGUGAAAUCCCCGGGCUUAACCUGGGAAUGGCGUCUGUGACUGUAUGACUAGAGUGUGUCAGAGGGGGGUAGAAUUCCACGUGUAGCAGUGAAAUGCGUAGAUAUGUGGAGGAAUACCAAUGGCGAAGGCAGCCCCCUGGGAUAACACUGACGCUCAUGCACGAAAGCGUGGGGAGCAAACAGGAUUAGAUACCCUGGUAGUCCACGCCCUAAACGAUGCCGACUAGUUGUUGGGAAUUUACAUUCUCAGUAACGUAGCUAACGCGUGAAGUCGGCCGCCUGGGGAGUACGGUCGCAAGAUUAAAACUCAAAGGAAUUGACGGGGACCCGCACAAGCGGUGGAUGAUGUGGAUUAAUUCGAUGCAACGCGAAAAACCUUACCUACCCUUGACAUGUCACUAACGAAGUAGAGAUACAUUAGGUGCCCGUAAGGGAAAGUGAACACAGGUGCUGCAUG
rnacentral:rRNA from 1 species